CACGUCAUCACAGUAAGACGAUACGAUGUGGCUAAGGUGCCCUGACAGCCUGGAGGAAGAAACCAAACUUCGCUGGGAGCUUUGGCAAGGACUGCAGAGAGGAGGUGACAUCGCGUCAGGACCGUAAAGCGUCUCCUACCUUGAUAAUGUGUGUGUCCUGUAGGAGAAACUGGUACCCUUUGUCAUUCACUGGCCCAAGAGUCAGAGAUGCUGAAGCAGGAGCUGAAGCAGGAACAGGAGGUUAUGCAGCCAUGAAGCUGAACGCUGCCACCAAGGAAUUGCGUAAGUUGACUAGAAUCAGCCAUCAACUGUCCUGAUCUCAGGACAAUUUGGUGUAUACAAAGCCCAAGGCAUGGAAACUCACUGAGAAGUCAGCAGUCAGCAUCCUGAGGGGCUAUUCCAGGCCAGUUCUCCAGGAGGAAUCACCCACAAUCCCUUUAGAAGCAACUACAGAUGAAACCUACAAGAGGAGAGGACCCCAAGUUGACUUCAGCGAGAACAAAGCUCUGUUAUGUGUUGGACUGUUAUUGAUUUCAAACAAACUAUUCUUCAGAAAAAUAGAUUUUCAAACCAGUAGACCUCUAGAUUUCUAGAUCCUUCACAGCAUUAACAUCCUUUGGAUCAAUGACUAUUUAAAAGCAACUAAGAGAAAGGAAAGAAAGAAGAAGAAGAAGAAAGUAAAACAAUUGA